rnacentral:lncRNA from 1 species
AGAUUUCCUGGUGAACCUGCCUCUGUCUGACUAAAACCUCACCAGAACCGCGCGGAAGUGAGAAGUCGCGGCCAAAGGCGCCCGCAGAAGCCUCCUCUCUGGGCCGGACCCCAGCCCGAGCGGCCGAAAGGAGCCCCCCGCCCGGAUCACAGAAGUUUACAAGGAAAGGGGAAAUGUCUGAAAUGGAGAUUGCACAAUCCUGUCUUGAAGCAGAAGACUCAGCUAGAGCACAUCUGGAAACACCUGGCACUCCUCAAUAGAAUUCAAAUGCUAUUUUAAAAGAGUCCAUUUCUAAGAAGAUGUGGUUCGAACAUACAGAGCUACAUAAUAUGAGUAAAAUAGGACCUAACAGUAGUGUUCUCCAGCAUUGCUCUGCCUUUCCUUUUCUGGAUGUAACAACAUUACUAAGAAAGGAAGAAAAAGCAAAAAUCUGCUCUCGGGGAGAUUCCAGAAUGUUGGAAAGCCCCAAAUGGAAGUCUCUGCUUUGGUUACAGGACAUAAGGUUUAAUAAAUAAAAAGAUGCUCAUCUGGGAUGCUGCACCAAUUAUCAUGUACUAAAUAAGGUUACCUACUUCACUCUCCAGGUAGAAAUGUCUAUCAUAAGCAUGUGCCACAGAAGGUCUCUCAAGUAUCAUUAUUGGCUGUGUUGAAUUUUGUUUUUAGUUCUCUUUUAUAAGGUCUGUAGUCUUACUUUCAGUGAGGAAGUGUUUUCUCAGGUUCUCAAGAAAGUAACAAAAUGCCAGCAUUGUCAAGGUCACCAUUGCCACUGAAUUAUCUUACUGUCUGAUUAUUCCAUCUUCCUCUGCAUCAUAUUAGCCUGAUGACUACAUUCUAAUUAUUUAAAGCGUUAUGUAAAUCAAAGCAGUAAAUGUAAUUUCUAGUCUUACUAGAUAUCAUGUACAUUAGGUCGAAUAACUCUAGAAAUGUCGUCAUAAUCAUGUCAUGCCUAAUGAUGACCUACUCAGCCCCUGCCAACAUCAUUCAAUUACUCAUUUCAGUAUUGAUUUUUCUCAUGCCUCUCUUCGUGGCAUUUAAACAGCCCUCACAUCUCCCCUUUUACUGAGGUGUAAUGUUGUAUAAUGACAGAGAUGCUUUGCUUCCCAGAUUCAUAAUGUUACACUCUGUUUCAAAUCCUUUUGGAGACAAAUUGGGGAAUCAAUAUAUAAAUAAUGACACACUUAUUUUUAAUUAAAAUCACUGCUUUCACAGAAAUGGUAUAUUAAAAUUAUUUUUGCUAAAAAAAUUUUAAAUACCUAUGUACGAUAAAAAGACUGCCAAUCCUUGGGAUCAAGAAUAUAAUUUGCCCCAAAUAACUUUUCUGUAAAAGUAGAAUUCUUAAUGGAAAAUAGAUUAAUACAUAUAAUUUCAAGAUCUAACCUUAAAAAUGGAAAUAAUGUGUCCAUUUUUAAAAAUAAAUCAUAUUUACAUACA